rnacentral:rRNA from 1 species
AUUGAACGCUGGCGGCAGGCCUAACACAUGCAAGUCGAGCGAGCGGCGGACGGGUUAGGAAAGUCUGGGAAACUGCCUGAUGGAGGGGGAUAACUACUGGAAACGGUAGCUAAUACCCCAAACCCUCGGGUUUGCCCCAGUGGGGUUAGCUAGUAGGUGGGGUAAUGGCUCACCUAGGCGACGAACCCUAGACGGUCUGAGAGGAGGACCAGCCACACGGGAAAUGAGACACGGUCCAGACUCCUACGGGAGGCAGCAGUGGGGAAUAUUGCACAAUGGGCGCAAGCCUGAUGCAGCCAUGCCGCGUGUAUGAAGAAGGCCUUCGGGUUGUAAAGUACUUUCAGCGGGGAGGCGUUACCCGCAGAAGAAGCACCGGCUAACUCCGUGCCAGCAGCCGCGGUAAUAC